GAAAAACUCUGCAUUGGUGCCCAUCACGAAUGACAGAAGACAGAGAUAAUGUGGCGCCUUGAAGUUUGUCACACUGGAGGGUCAACAUCCCUAACCCGCCCCUUCCCCGCCCGUUUCCCCGUCUAACUGCCUCAGGAUCCUGUAUCAUUGGAAGACGGUUCUUCAGGACACUAGUCUGCCAUCUUCCGACAAUGCUGGCUAAUCGUCUUUUGACUGCAUUUCGUUGGAAUACUAGGACAAAUGAAGACGGUUUCGAUUUUGGGACGGGCUCUCGCGAGUCCACACGGAAGACGGUAGGCCUUGGAGCAGACGUUUACGUUUCCGCUUGAGAUCCGUUAUUUCACCAGUUUCUGCUGCCAGAACCUGUGCCUUGUCAUCUUCUUGAAGCAGGGAAACAGAUCAGGUUUUUCAUCAACUUUACACAGAACAUACAAGUACUGGAGAGAGGAAAGAUGACUUCGCUCCAAGGGCACAGCUCUGUACCACGGCGUCACUUUGCAGGGGACAUCAGGUAGUGCCUGCCAACGCCAGCUGACAAUCAUUCCUGUGAGCCGUGGCCUCAUCACUUCACCUUCACACUCCUUUGCACAACGAGGGGGGCUUUCAAGGGUCUUCGCUUUGAACGAAUCACAUUCACGUGGGCAUUUCCAACGCAGGCCACCCCACUGUGACAACAGGUCAGGCCUCAGUGCUGUGCCUAAGAGAACAAUGGACGGUGUGAGCUGCUGGCAAGGGGCACAAGGUGAGGGGUCAAUCCUCAAAGGGCUAACGAGCAAAUUUUUCCAAUUUCAGAAGUCUGAGUGAGUAAAUGGGCCCGUUGGAGAUUUUUGCUUAUGUACACACCUGAAUUCUCCAGGAGGACCUGUCUGCAUGUGAGACUCGGCUAUUUUGAAGCCACUUAAAAUAACUUCAAAUCCUUGUUUUGCCUGGAAACACCACAACGAGAAGCGAAUUAAGCAAAAGAGAGGGCUGCGGUCUGUGAGCAUGAAGGGGAACUUGCUCCCGGCGUGAGGAUUUGGCAGCCCCUGGGGGCCUUCGUAAGCAGACUCACGGUGGUGAAACCCACUUUAAUUUGCCAAGUGAGUCCUUAAGUCUCCUUUGUAAAAGUUCUUCAAGAGGCAAUGCCUUCCGGGAAAGAGGCGAGCUUUUGUACCAAGACACAAUCGGGCAGUAACGAGCCGCCAGGGGGUCGUGAGAGCGAGCAUUGUUGAGUAAAACAGGCAGUGAUGGGUGUGCGCCAGCGGUUCAGGACACGGUCUGUUUCUCCUCUUCUUAACAGACAAUGACGGCUUCGCUCUUUCUGAUGAGAAAAAUCAUCAAUCGCAGGGAGUUUCCUCUGCGACAAAAAUGUUUUUAAUACAUCAUUAAAGAGUAAACGAUAUUGACCAUGGUCUAAUGGUUGGCCUGCAACCUAGAAAUAAAGUCAGAGCUAAUUACACCAGCAUAACAACAAGCCUGCUUGUGGCCGUGAAGACUGUGUACACUCGGGGUACCUGCCCAGUGGUCUAGUCAGGGGUACCUGCCUGGUGCACACUCAGGGGUACCUGCCUGGAGUAUACUCAGGUGUGCCUACCUGGUG
ensembl:lncRNA